ensembl:lncRNA
CUCCACAACACAUCCCCAUGGUUCUGGAACACCCCAGGGAUGGUGACCCCCCCCUGGAAAGCCUGUGUUGGUGCCGAGUUCUCUUAGGGAAAAGAAAUUUCCCCUAACAUCCAGCCUGAGAUGCUGGCAUACAACCUAUGUUCCAUGUGGCAGCAACAAGAGAUCAGUGAAAGUCUUCUAAACUAGAGAUGCAUUCCUGACCUUCAGCCAGAAGGAUGACUUCUGUGAGCAGCAACUGAAAUCCUGAAGGAGCAGCAGGUGAGAGAGAAAACACAACAGUGAGAAGAAAACUAGUGAACGCCAGCACAGCAUGGCUGUAUGAUGUACAAAGAUGCUUCACACAGGAAGAAAAACACACACAAGCACAGCUCCUGGCCACGGAAAUGUUGCUCUUAAGAAGAGGACAGGAGAGAGGAGAUGAGACGUGAGCAGAAGAGAACAGUGACAGCUCAGAGAAGGCAGAGCAGAAAAGGGAGACGGCAGCAGAGAGAGCUGGAAUGGUCUGAGAGCAAAAAGCCGCAAAUCCAGCAGCGUGGGGGGUUUGGUGGAGGAAAAAAAGAGAAAGAGAAACCACUUUGUGGCUGGAAAAUAAUAACUGUAUUAUCUGUAUUUAAGGAAAUGAGGAAAGCGAAUCAGGCAAAUUUUAGGCUAACCACUAGCAGCACAAUAGAACUUAAGGCUUUAAAAUGACUUUAAAAGUUUAAGGAACAUAAUUCAAAGUGCAAUAGACUAAUGGGACAUUUUUAUUUGAUAAAGAGGUUUUUCACAUGAAGGAAAUCCAACAGAAGGAGAUAAUGCGGUAAAUCUCUUUGAUAAAGCAUUUAAAUAGUGCAACUAUGGAAACUGUUAGGUAGGACAAAAUGGUGAUUUAGGAGCUUACGCAUUUGGCGGCAUUGUUUAAUGGAAAAAGUGACAUUCGCAUUAGAAAUAAGAAACCAGAAGCGUCGGGCUGAAAUUCUUCACAAAUGAUCACAAAAAUAACGAUUCAGUCAUUUAAUUAAGGGUCUCAUCGUGGAAUCUGAAUAGACAGGCAGCUCAGAUGGAAGCCGUGUGCGAUGUGCAGGACGCACGAGUGGGGGUGGCAGAGGGAAGUGUCCUUCUGAGGGCGGAGGGCUCCGCGGAAGGCUGUGAAUCCCAGCAGGGAUCUGAGGGAUCCGGAUGUGCUCAGAGUGCCAGGAGCAGCUCUGUGCCAAACGGAUCGCAGUAAGCAGCAGGCCGGGGGAAGCUGAGGAGCUCGGGUGCUCCCUGGAACCUCUGCAGCGUGUUUCUACAGCUGCUGGGAGCAUCACUUCUACGUCAGUGCUCCUGGAGGGAUGGCUCCACAUUGCUCCCUCACUGUGCAUGUACGUACAGCCACAAAUGUGCCUGAAUGUGUGACAUCCCCCCCCUCAGAGGGCAGCCCCCCCAGCUGUGGGAGCUGUGUGCCCUGCCUUGAAGGGCUGCAGGCCCUGAUGGUUGUGGUGCUGAUGAAGACGACAGUGGGAUUCCAAUCUGGUCCAACAGCCUUCUAAAACUUUCCUCUGUGUAGUACUGAUUAACAAAAAGAACACUGUACACAAUUGCUGUGUGAAACAUGAAAGCCAAGGAACAGACAGUGCUCAUUUUCAGCUGUUGAGGAACAUUUUCACAUUUGAAGAAAAAAUCCCUCAAAGGAAUCUCUACAAAUGCAUUGAGCAGGUCAGGUGUGCAAGCACCCCGGGUCCAACCAGAGAUGGGAUUCAAACUGUGUUAUUUGGGAACAGGUUCUUCCUUGUACAAUCCUUCAGUGCCCAAAGCAACACCUUCUCUAUGUCACAACCCACUUGAAUUCCCUCGCUGUGCAAGAAGUGAUUUGAACAUGAUGCAGAAUGUGGCUGAAACCAUUUGCAGAGGAUAUCCUUUACAUUACAUAGCCUGGAACACGUGCCGUGUGUGAAGGAUGAAGCUGUAUUGACUCCAUGGAAGAAGCAGUCCAGUGAUUCACCUCAGAAAUGGUUUCUAAUGCAACCAACUGCACCUCUUUCUAUGCACCACUCACUUCUUCCUCAAGUGCACACACAGCUGGUAUGCAGCAGGGCUGCACAUCCCCACACACAGAGCAGGCAUUGCUGCAGAGCUGCUGCCCUGCAUGCACAGCCUACAGCCAACCAGAACCGCCAAGUUGAGCUGACAAUUUGGGUUUGCACUGUGGAAUAUUUGCCCUUGAGUCUUGUGAGCCUUUCAGAGAAGUGCGGGUGCUCAUGAUCACAGAAUGGCCCAGGUUGGAAGGGACCUCAAGGAUCAUGAAGAUCCAACCCCCCCCUGCCACAU